CGUGAAUUUCUCCUUCUCCAUUGGUUUUACUGAUAAUAGCCCAUGUCCUAUUGUCCUUGUGGUUUGUGUCACAUUUCGCCGUAUCGGGGAUGGUGCGGCAUACGAUAUCUAUUGUCGGAAAUGUUAUUGGGAACCUUUGUCCGGAGACUCAGGCGGACGUGGAUUGCUUUUUUUACGUAAUUAAUUUUCGGAAUCCCUUGAGAAAAAUAGGGACGUACUUCUUCUCCGUCUUAUUUACAGUUUGCUACUACACUUAAUCUUGAUCUUCCUCAUUUCCACGGAAUUCGUCUGGCAAUCAGUAAAUUAUUCUUGGAAGUAAAUUGAUGAAAUCGUUCCGCAAAUAUUUUCUUUGUUUCUGAAUAAAUUUGAAUUAGUAAGAAGGGAUUGGCCAACAUGCCAUCUUGUGAGUGCGUCUGCCAUUGGACACCACUAGCGCCGUUGCGCUAAGGUUGUUUACAAAAACAAAGGCCCGAAAAAUCAUUCAAGGCACUGGGCUGUCGUGUCCCACUGUCUCUUGAGAAAUAACAAUUGAAUAUUUUGUCAUUAAUGAUUGAAACCGCGAAAAUAAAUGCCCCCGGCUGUAAGUCGAUCAAGGAAUUUUAAUGAGUAGGUCAGCACAAAGAACAGUUAGUAGUGCGUAAAGAAGCAUUACAUUUCCAGAUUCAAGACCCUUCCAUUCAUCGUCCACAUUUAAAUCAAGUUAAAUUUGACUCAUGGCUGAAAAUACGAAUUCCAGACGCAAGCCUCCUUUUCCUUAUUCAAGGCUAUCACUUUCUCAAAAUAGGAAAACAAAAACUGACUCUGUUGUAGCUUCCAAGGGAAAGAAAAAGUUGAAUGAACCAUUAAGCAAUCAUAGCUCUCGUCAAGUGUCCAAGAAACAGAAUACUGAAACUACAACUACUGUUACCCAAAACACAAGACUAAAAGAUUCAUGCGCUAAGAUUGUUCCAAAAUUCAAAUGUGAAAGUGAAUUAGAAAGAACUAUAAGGUUAAGAAUGGAAAAAUUAAAAGAAUCCCAGAAAAAACUUACGAAGUCAAAAAACGCAUUACCUGAAUCUUCUCCAAGACAAAAAUCUACUAGCCAGCAAACUUUAAAAGCAACCAGCAAUACUAGCUCCUCACAAACAAAGUUAAAAGUUAAAAUUCCUUUUCCUGAGAAGAAAAUUAAGGUGAAUAGUCCUCAUGUCAACAGUUCAAUGCCACAGAAACAAAAAACUCUUAUGAUUUGGAAAUUUAAAGAUGGGACCACUGUGAAAAAAUUUUGUUAGUUCUUCCUUUCAUUAUUUAUUGAAUGGUGGACAAACAGCAUGUCUUAUUAUUAUUUUUUUUUUCAGCACUAUUCUCUCACAAGUAUUAUUAUUUUUUUUUUGUAUUUUGAUACCUGCCACUGAUGUUUCUGUUUGUAAUGCCAUUUUUCUGGCUUUUAAAAGCAUAGAAAUCAUUUCUAUGAGUUAUGUCUGCUCUGCUUAAGUGCUUAUGCAUUUGCAAUUUAAUGCAUGUGCCCAUCAAACCAAUCAAUGAUAACUCAGUUAUUUGGUAUAAAAUACAGCAUUUUGAUUUAAA